AUGCAGUCAAGAUUAGAAGAAGAGGAUGCCAAGGCAUCUCUUAUGAGUAGGAUUCAGAGGUUAACAAAGAUCAUUCUGGCUUCCUCAAAGAAUGUGAUUCCUGGAUAUCCGACUGAAGCUCCCAACCACCAACGAAGUCACUCUUUUGUCGAGGAAGAUAAACUUGAUGCCUUUCGGGAUGGUAUGUUGAUUGAAAGUGAUAGUAAAAAAGAUACUUCUGCAGUAUCAUCACAUCUAUUUCAUGAUGGUAGACAUAAAGGAUCAUCAAGUAGAUAG